GUAGGUGGCGAGCGUUGUCCGGAAUUAUUGGGCGUAAAGCGCGCGCAGGCGGUCCUUUAAGUCUGAUGUGAAAGCCCACGGCUCAACCGUGGAGGGUCAUUGGAAACUGGGGGACUUGAGUACAGAAGAGGAAAGCGGAAUUCCACGUGUAGCGGUGAAAUGCGUAGAGAUGUGGAGGAACACCAGUGGCGAAGGCGGCUUUCUGGUCUGUAACUGACGCUGAGGCGCGAAAGCGUGGGGAGCAAACAGGAUUAGAUACCCUGGUAGUCCACGCCGUAAACGAUGAGUGCUAAGUGUUAGGGGGUUUCCCGCCCCCCUUAGUGCUGCAGCUAACGCAUUAAGCACUCCGCCUGGGGAGUACGGCCCGCAAGGCUG
rnacentral:rRNA from 1 species